UACGGAGGGUGCAAGCGUUAUCCGGAUUUACUGGGUUUAAAGGGUGCGUAGGUGGGUUGGGAAGUCAGUGGUGAAAUACUUUCGCUUAACGAAGGAACUGCCAUUGAUACCAUCAAUCUUGAAUGUAGUGGAGGUAGGCGGAAUGCGUCAUGUAGCGGUGAAAUGCUUAGAUAUGACGCAGAACACCAAUUGCGAAGGCAGCUUGCUACACUGUUAUUGACACUGAGGCACGAAAGCGUGGGGAGCAAACAGG
rnacentral:rRNA from 1 species